AUGUGUUUUCCCCCCUUUGUUAGAGAGAGAGAGUGCGGGUAUGCUAGCAUUGGAAGGAUCCAAAAAGUUGGAGAAGGCACGACAAUCGGACUCACAGGAAGGUGUAAAGAAUGAGAGAGGAAGCGAAUUAUCAGAUCGUUCGUUUUAAGGUCAUACAAAUCUAGUAUAUGGAUGAUGAUGCUGACCAUAUAACUCGCUCAUCCGUGUUUAAGAAGCCAUGAACAAUAUUAAAGACACUCGGCUAUUAUCAUUGAACAAGUAUUCAAAAUUAUUUUUUUUGUAAGAUUUUAGUGCAAUAAUGUAAAAGCUUUGUAGACGAUGAUGGUUCAAAAUUGACUCUUAAGUUGUCCAAUUUUUUGAAAGAUAUAGUAAUAACAAUUACAAUUGCACUUCAUUUAGGAAUGUUAGCUAGAAGUUUGUUGUAUAUUUUGAUAUUUUAUGGCAGGAUAUUAGAUUAGAUUUGAGUAUCUGCAUAAUAAAGAUGGCUUGGUGAUUUGAGUA